ACACGUAGUCAAUCUACCCUAUGGACGGGGAUAACCUCGGGAAACUGAGAAUAAUACCCGAUAGAUCAUUAUGCCUGGAAUGGCUUAUGAUUGAAAUGAUUUAUCGCCGUAGGAUGGGACUGCGGCCUAUCAGCUUGUUGGUGAGGUAAUGGCCCACCAAGGCUAUAACAGGUACGGGCUCUGAGAGGAGAAGCCCGGAGAUGGGUACUGAGACACGGACCCAGGCCCUAUGGGGCGCAGCAGGCGAGAAACCUUAGCAAUGUGCGAAAGCACGACUAGGUUAAUCCGAGUGAUUUCUGCUGAAGAAAUCUUUUGUCAGUUCUAAAACUACCGAUGAAUAAGGGGUGGGCAAGUCUGGUGUCAGCCGCCGCGGUAAUACCAGCACCUCGAGUGGUCAGGAGGUUUAUUGGGCCUAAAGCAUCCGUAGCCGGCUUUGCAAGUCCCCGGUUAAAUCCAGCUGCCUAACAGAUGGGCUGCCGGGGAUACUACGAAGCUAGGGAGCGGGAGAGGUAGACGGUACUCGGUGGGUAGGGGUAAAAUCCUCUGAUCCAUUGAAGACCACCAGUGGCGAAGGCGGUCUACCAGAACGCGUUCGACGGUGAGGGAUGAAAGCUGGGGGAGCAAACCGGAUUAGAUA
rnacentral:rRNA from 1 species